GAACGCCGGAUGCUGGGAAACUAGCACGUCCGGUGUGGAGCAGGGGAAAGCUGGAGAUCACUUCAAAUGCGUACCUAUUGCUAC
rnacentral:ncRNA from 1 species